rnacentral:rRNA from 1 species
AGAGUUUGAUCCUGGCUCAGGACGAACGCUGGCGGCGCGCCUAACACAUGCAAGUCGAACGAGCGAGAGAGAGCUUGCUUUCUCAAGCGAGUGGCGAACGGGUGAGUAACGCGUGAGGAACCUGCCUCAAAGAGGGGGACAACAGUUGGAAACGACUGCUAAUACCGCAUAAGCCCACAGCUCGGCAUCGAGCAGAGGGAAAAGGAGCAAUCCGCUUUGAGAUGGCCUCGCGUCCGAUUAGCUAGUUGGUGAGGUAAUGGCCCACCAAGGCGACGAUCGGUAGCCGGACUGAGAGGUUGAACGGCCACAUUGGGACUGAGACACGGCCCAGACUCCUACGGGAGGCAGCAGUGGGGAAUAUUGCACAAUGGGGGAAACCCUGAUGCAGCGACGCCGCGUGGAGGAAGAAGGUCCUCGGAUUGUAAACUCCUGUUGUUGAGGAAGAUAAUGACGGUACUCAACAAAGAAGUGACGGCUAACUACGUGCCAGCAGCCGCGGUAAACCGUAGGUCACAAGCGUUGUCCGGAAUUACUGGGUGUAAAGGGAGCGCAGGCGGGAAGACAAGUUGGAAGUGAAAUCUAUGGGCUCAACCCAUAAACUGCUUUCAAAACUGUUUUUCUUGAGUAGUGCAGAGGUAGGCGGAAUUCCCGGUGUAGCGGUGGAAUGCGUAGAUAUCGGGAGGAACACCAGUGGCGAAGGCGGCCUACUGGGCACCAACUGACGCUGAGGCUCGAAAGUGUGGGUAGCAAACAGGAUUAGAUACCCUGGUAGUCCACACCGUAAACGAUGAUUACUAGGUGUUGGAGGAUUGACCCCUUCAGUGCCGCAGUUAACACAAUAAGUAAUCCACCUGGGGAGUACGACCGCAAGGUUGAAACUCAAAGGAAUUGACGGGGGCCCGCACAAGCAGUGGAGUAUGUGGUUUAAUUCGACGCAACGCGAAGAACCUUACCAAGUCUUGACAUCCUGCGACGCACAUAGAAAUAUGUGUUUCCUUCGGGACGCAGAGACAGGUGGUGCAUGGUUGUCGUCAGCUCGUGUCGUGAGAUGUUGGGUUAAGUCCCGCAACGAGCGCAACCCUUACUGUCAGUUACUACGCAAGAGGACUCUGGCAGGACUGCCGUUGACAAAACGGAGGAAGGUGGGGAUGACGUCAAAUCAUCAUGCCCUUUAUGACUUGGGCUACACACGUACUACAAUGGCGUUAAACAAAGAGAAGCAAGACCGCGAGGUGGAGCAAAACUCAGAAACAACGUCCCAGUUCGGACUGCAGGCUGCAACUCGCCUGCACGAAGUCGGAAUUGCUAGUAAUCGUGGAUCAGCAUGCCACGGUGAAUACGUUCCCGGGCCCAUUGUACACACGCGCCCGU